CAGUCUGACCACCUGUUGAAGGGCUGUUUGAUGACGAUUUGGACUCCUCUGGGAGAUGAGGACACACCCACAUCUGUUCCAUACUGCAGCCAUGGAUGGUGUUACAGCUCUGAGUCAGCUUUGGGCCAUCAGACGCACACACUGGAAAACCAGCACCUGGACUUCAUGCAGGAGAGACGGCCUCAGUGAUUUAGAAUUCAUCAGCAGCUGUGAAGAGAUGUAUUUGAAUAUCUUCUGGUUCCACUUUUCCUAACCUGGAAGCUGAGGAUGGCUGAUUUCUGACAGGGACACACACC